ensembl:lncRNA
UUUUACAGAAACUAAGAAAUCCUGAUUCUGGGGAAAACAAGAAUUUGUAGUGUGAAAAAGAUCUACAGAAUAUUUCACAGGAUGUGUGUCUUAUGAAACACUGGAGAUGCAGACCGUUUGAAAAUCCUAGCUGUCCAGUGGGUAAUGACACACUCUUCAGCAAGGCGCCACCCAGCCUCUGCCGGAGUGGGGUCCCUGAUCAUGGUUCCAGCAGAGGCUCUGAGGGACGUUUUGAUGAUUAUCCAUGAUGACAAUGUCUCCCCCUGGAAAGGCAUUGACGGGUGGUAGACACGCCUUUGGAUGAAGAAUCAGAACUUCGGGAUUCUACAGUGGGCCACAGGGCACUUGAAGAGAGAAGGUCUGAUAAAUGCUACAGCCCCUAGCAAGGCCUUCCAAGUCAACAGUGGGAAGAUUUCAGAUAGAUCUCCAGCUAUUAAAAUGGAUCUCCACGUUACCUACCUACAGAACACAAGAAGGAAGAUGGGGGGAAGGAAAAAAAGUGGAUUUGGACAAACAUCGCAUGAAUAA